CCUACGGGAGGCAGCAGUGGGGAAUAUUGCACAAUGGGGGAAAGCCUGACGCAGCAACGCCGCGUGAGUGAUGACGGCCUUCGGGUUGUAAAGCUCUGUCUUCAGGGAAGAAAAUGACGGUACCUGAGGAGGAAGCCACGGCGAAAUACGUGACAGCAGCCGCGGUAAUAAGUAGGUGGCGAGCGUUGUCCGGAUUUACUGGGCGUAAAGGGAGUGUAGGCGGAGUUUUAAGGGAGAUGUGAAAUACUCGGGCUCAACUUGAGCGCUGCAUUUGAAACUGGAAGUCUAGAGUGCAGGAGAGGAGAAUGGAAUGCCUAGUGUAGCGGUGAAAUGCGUAGAGAUUAGGAAGAACACCGGUGGCGAAGGCGAUUCUCUGGACUGUAACUGACGCUGAGGCUCGAAAGCGUGGGGAGCAAACAGGAUUAGAUACCCGAGUAGUC
rnacentral:rRNA from 1 species